rnacentral:rRNA from 1 species
CUAAGUUUGAUGGCGACCGGCGCACGGUGAGUAACACGUAUCCAACCUGCCGAUGACUCGGGGAUAGCCUUUCGAAAGAAAGAUUAAUACCCGAUGGCAUAGUUCUUCCGCAUGGUAGAACUAUUAAAGAAUUUCGGUCAUCGAUGGGGAUGCGUUCCAUUAGGUUGUUGGCGGGGUAACGGCCCACCAAGCCUUCGAUGGAUAGGGGUUCUGAGAGGAAGGUCCCCCACAUUGGAACUGAGACACGGUCCAAACUCCUACGGGAGGCAGCAUG